GCUUUGUGGGGAGGGCGCUGGGCAUUGCAUGUACUGCUUCCCCCUCACCCUGGGGAAGGGGCUGAGGGCAGGACUGUGUGCUCGGGUUGAGGCACCCGGAGAUCGUCGCAUUCCAGGAAAAGUCUUAGGCUCUGUAGGAGGAAAAAGAAACAGGUUUACACCGUCGUAAUCUUCCUGAUCCCGACCUCCGUCUGCUUCGUGGGACUGAUCCACGCCCCUCAGCAGCUGAGCUCUGGUCUCGGCACUCGAGCUUCCCUUCCGU
rnacentral:lncRNA from 1 species